ensembl:lncRNA
AUAAUGUCAGCUCUACCUCCUCUGUGAAGGGAGAAUCGGGAAGAAAAUUCCAUAUAAUACCUAAGAAGAUCCAGAACAUUUUUAGAAAAUCUGGAGUUUAUGUGUGUUCUCGAGGAGAGCCAGUACCUGAUGUAUGGAAAGCAAAAAAAUCCAUAAUGGAUGAAAAAUAUAAAACAGAUAAUUUCUAUGCUGUGUCUUCUGAGCAUAGAAAUUCUAUUCCUAAGGCUACUGUUGAUUGUGAAGCUUCCACCUCUACUGCUGACAGCCUGGAUGCUGCCGAGCCUGACCCGACAAAUUCUACAAAUGCUACUGACUGUCUGGCUGCUCUUGAGCGUGAGCUGACUAAUUCCAACAACACUGCUGACUGUCUGGCUGACCUUGAGCCUGAUCCGACUUUUUCUACCAAUGCCGCUGACUUUCAGGCUGCUGUUGCACCAGAGCCAACUAUGUCCACCCACCCUGCUGACUGUCUGCCUGAUGUGGAACCAGAGCCAACUAUGUCCACCCACCCUGCUGACACUCUGGCUGCUCUUGAGCCUGAGCUGACUAAUUUCAACAACACUGCUGACUGUCUGGCUGACCUUGAGCCUGAGCCAAACAUGUCCACCCACCCUGCUGACAGUCUGCCUGAUGUGGAACCAGAGCCAACUAUGUCCAAUCACCCUGCUGACACUCUGGCUGCUCUUGAGCCUGAACUGACUAAUUCAAACAACACUGCUGACUGUCUGGCUGACCUUGAGCCUGAGCCAAACAUGUCCACCCACCCUGCUGAUAGUCUUCCUGAUGUGGAACCAGAGCCAACUAUGUCCACCCACCCUGCUGACACUCUGGCUGCUCUUGAGCCUGAGCUGACCAAUUUCAACAACACUGCUGACUGUCUGGCUGACCUUGAGCCUGAUCCGACUAUUUCUACCAAUGCUGCUGACUUUCAGGCUGCUGUUGCACCAGAGCCAACUAUGUCCACCCACCCUGCUGACUGUCUGCCUGAUGUGGAACCAGAGCCAACUAUGUCCACCCACCCUGCUGACACUCUGGCUGCUCUUGAGCCUGAACUGACUAAUUCCAACAACACUGCUGACUGUCUGGCUGACCUUGAGCCUUAUCCGACUAUUUCUACCAAUGCCGCUGACUGUCGGGCUGCUGUUGCACCAGAGCCCUCUAUGUCCACCAACCCUGCUGACAGUAUGGCAGCUGUUGAGCCUGAGCCGACUAUGUCCACCCACCCUGCUGACAUUCUGACUGCUGACGAGCCUGAACAUAAUACUUCUACCAAAGCUGCUGACUGUCUGGCUGACCUUGAGCCUGAGCUAAACAUGUCCACCCACCCUGCUGACAGUCUGCCUGAUGUGGAACCAGAGCCAAAUAUGUCCAAUCACCAUGCUGACACACUGGCUGCUCUUGAGCCUGAGUCGACUAAAUCCUCCAAUGCUGCUGACUGUCUGGCCUAUGUUGAGCCAGAGCCAGCUAUGUCCACCCACCGUGCCGACAGUCUGGCUGCUCUUGAGCAUGAGCUGUCUCAUGCCAACAAAGAUGCUGACUGUCUGGCUUCUCUCAAGGCUGAGCUGAUUAAUUCCACCAAUGCUACUGAUUGUCUGGCUUCUGUUGGGACUGAGACAACCAUGUCCACCCAGCCUGCUGACAAUUUGGCAGCUGUUGAGCCUGAACAUAAUAAUUCCACCAAUACUGCUGACGGUCUGGACUCUGUUGAACAAGAGCCAGCUAUGCCCACUUACCGUGCCGACAGUCUGGCUGCUCUUGAGCAUGAGCUGACUAAUUCCAACAACACUGCUGACUGUCUGGCUUCUCAGAAGGCUGAGUCAAUUGACUCUACCAAUGCUACUGAUUGUUUGGCUUCUGUUGGGACUGAGACAACUAUGUCCACCCACCCUGCUGACAAUAUGGCUACUGAUGAGCUUGAGCCUACACAUUCCACCAAUGCUGCUUACUUUCUGGCCGCUCUUGAGCCCCAGUCGACUAAUUCCUCCAAUGCUGCUGAUAUUCUGGCUUCUGUUGGGUCUGAG